AUUGAACGCUGGCGGCAGGCUUAACACAUGCAAGUCGAGCGGGGAAGAGUAGCUUGCUGCUUUACCUAGCGGCGGACGGGUGAGUAAUGCUUAGGAAUCUGCCUAUUAGUGGGGGACAACAUCUCGUAAGGGAUGCUAAUACCGCAUACGUCCUACGGGAGAAAGCAGGGGACCUUCGGGCCUUGCGCUAAUAGAUGAGGCUAAGUCGGAUUAGCUAGUUGGUGGGGUAAAGGCCUACCAAGGCGACGAUCUGUAGCGGGUCUGAGAGGAUGAUCCGCGACACUGGGACGGGGACACGGCCCAGACUCCUACGGGAGGCAGAAGUGGGGAAUAUUGGACAAUGGGGGGAACAGUGAUCCAGCGAUGCCGCGUGUGUGAAGAAGGCCUUUUGGUUGUAAAGCACUUUAAGCGAGGAGGAGGCUACCGAGAUUAAUACUCUUGGGUAGUGGACGUUACUCGCAGAAUAAGCACCGGCUAACUCUGUG
rnacentral:rRNA from 1 species